rnacentral:rRNA from 1 species
AAGUCGAACGAAGGCCCUAGCUUGCUAGGUGUCCUUAGUGGCGCACGGGUGAGUAACACGUGGGAACAUACCUCAUAGUACGGAAUAACUGCGGGAAACUGUAGCUAAUACCGUAUAUUCCAGUAAUGGGAAAGAUUUAUCGCUAUGAGAUUGGCCCGCGCAAGAUUAGUUUGUUGGUAAGGUAAUGGCUUACCAAGGCUACGAUCUUUAGCUGGUUUGAGAGGAUGAUCAGCCACACUGGGACUGAGACACGGCCCAGACUCCUACGGGAGGCAGCAGUAGGGAAUAUUGGACAAUGGGGGAAACCCUGAUCCAGCAAUGCAGCGUGAGUGACGAAGGCCUUAGGGUUGUAAAACUCUUUCAUCGGUGAGGAUAAUGACAGUAACCGAAGAAGAAGGACCGGCUAAUUCCGUGCCAGCAGCCGCGGUAAUACGGAAGGUCCUAGCGUUGUUCGGAAUUACUGGGCGUAAAGCGCAUGUAGGCGGAACAGAAAGUUAGAAGUGAAAUCCCUGGGCUCAACCUAGGAAUUGCUUUUAAAACUUCUGUUCUGGAAUUCAGGAGAGGAAAAUGGAAUAUCCAGUGUAGAGGUGAAAUUCGUAGAUAUUGGAUGGAACACCAGUGGCGAAGGCGAUUUUCUGGACUGAUAUUGACGCUGAGAUGCGAAGGCAUGGGUAGCAAACGGGAUUAGAUACCCCGGUAGUCCAUGCAGUAAACGAUGGGUGCUAGUCGUCGGACUUAUGUUCGGUGUC